AUUAUACAUACUCGAAACAGAAAGAGAGCGAGAGAGAAAGAGAAAGAGAGAGAGACAAGAGGGAGAGAGAGGAGACAGUUUAUGAGAUAUCUAUAGUCACGAAGAGACAGAGUUUAUUAUAUGCGCGUCGUCUGACUCUCUCUAUAUGUUCGCGGCCACUUAUCUGUACGGUCCGCGUACACGAUAGAAGCCCCGAUCAUUCUCAAGCAUUUCAACAAGCCGGAGGAGAGGAUCUCUAUCCGAAGAUAGAGAGAGAAAGAGAGAGAGAGAGAAAAAGAGAGAUUUCCUUGGAAAGGAAAAUCUCCUUGUUGAUAAAACGGUACCUCAAGCCCCGCCCUUUUUUUGUUCUUUUGAACCCACCCGUCAUCCGGAACACACCCGCACCACCCCGUUUCAAUCGGCUCCACGAACCAGGACAGCGAAGUACCUGCAGACACAGAUAUAUUUAUAGCAAUUAAUAUUAACGAUAAUUUAUGCGCGACCCGACACACCGCGGCCGGGGAUCGCGGCUACGACAACCGGUGUUCUACAACGCCACCGGCGAACGGCGAGGAGAGUGAUUAACAUUUGCGUACGCACGCGCGAGAGAGUAUUCGUCGAUCGAGUGCAUCGCGAAGAGAGAAGAGGAGAGAACGGAAGUGCCGAACGCUUGAUAAUUCUAGGCGACGGACGGUUGGGACGCACUUUCUGCCUCGUGGCUCGUCUACUCGCCGGUGCCCUUGUUCCACAGACACCAGGUGAGUGCCGAAUCAACUUCCAUCGAAUCACUUUUUCUGGCUAAUCAAGCAACCGUAAGUCCGAUAAAUCAUAGCACAUUAUCACCAGACUGUGAAGUUCCAUGCGAAACAAGAGUUUGCUAAUUUAUACGAAAACUGUAAUAAGUAGACCGCCGAUAUUUAUGCAGAACAAACAUUUCGCGCGUCGAUUGCUACGAACGAGAACUUCAUAGACAUUCAUUUCUCUUUUGAAUGAUUUAAUAUAAUAAUAAUAUAAUAAUAAUAUGAUUAAUUAAAUAAUAUAAACAAUAUAAUAUAACAUAA